GGUCAAGGGGAAGAAAAAUAAAUACAAAAAUCCGCGCGCGCAGAAUCAAGUCAUUUCGGACCCGUUUUGUAAACAAAUCACACUUGCAUUUAUACAAUGGCGCAGCAGAUCGACUACGUCGGCCAUAAAGAUGACACGUACGUGAUUUCAGAGGGUUUAUCUGUCGCAGACAGCAGCAGUAAAGUGGAAGAUGAUGGAGAAGGAGACAGCGACGCGCCUGCUAUUUUUCUGUGUGGAAAAUGCAGGUUGCCUUUCGGCGAUUCGCUCUCAUGGGCCGGGAGCGACGACCAGCAGAAUCAGAUCCUGUUAAAGUGUGUUAAUGACAACAUCGUGAUUGGCAAAGAACCUUUUGUCUCUGGUACAAGUGAAGAACAACGAUGCCUUGCUGUGCAUCUCACGUGUCGUGGUUGCAGCUUCAAACUUGGACAUAUGUACAUGUCCACUCCAAAGUCACUGGACUACAAAAGGUCCAUUUUCUGCCUCAUGGUUGAAAAUAUUGAGAGUUAUGUUUUAGGCUCUCCUGACCAGCAGGUGGCAGCAGUGGACAGAGAAGAAAGGCCUGUGACAUUGGAAUACAUGGACAAUGUUGAGCAACAGAUGACCAAGAUAAAAUCUCUAGCAGUGACGAUAGGACAGCGGCUCUUGGAGAUCGAGGUUGACCUCCAGUGCAAGUCUGGGACAACUUAACGUGAGCUGCACUUCGCCUAGAGAUGUUCUUCAGCUGUUUGUUUUCUGUUCCUGCCACAUGACUUUGCUACAAUUUUCUGGAUUAAAACAGAAGACCCCAACCCCAACUUCUCCUCCCAUCACAGUUUUCAUAAUUUCAAUCUAAUGUGCCUAGCAACACUUUAUGCCAGAAAGGCAGACAGAUCCUCCCGAACCCUCCCAAUCUCAAGAGCUGGAGCAGCAUAACAACAGCGGCACGCAUGUUGAAAUCAAUCUGCACAGACCAACCAGUGGCCUGUAUCCAAGGCCUGGCUGCCAUGGAAACAGGCUACUAUGCUGCAUGCCUGUUACCACGGUGCUGACCGUUUCCUGGAUUCAGAGCCAGCCAGCCAGCUCGCUCGAUUGCCUGUCUGUCAUCCAGAGGGGUGGAGUCACUGCUUCUCUAAUCCCCAAGGGUGUUUUUCUGUCUCCUCUUCAACUGUUCCCUCUUUUCUCUUCCCCCUCCUUUCCUCAGUCUCUCUCAUGCUCUCUCUCCCAUCCCUAAAUAGGAAAAAAAAGACUUGCCAGUUUAGGAAAGGUAAAACAAAAGAGAAAAUAAUCAGACAGAAUGUCUUGGAUGGCAAUACGAGCCCUUUUUCCCAUCAGGCAUCGUUCCUCCAGCAGCUACAAUGUGUGUUUUUGAGACCACUGUCCAGAUGUUGGGGUGCAGCCUUUUGUCCUGGGAUUUUUCUUCCAGUCUCAUUAUUCUGCCCAGCACGCCACACAGUCAUUUUGAUUAAUGUGCUUGGCCCUACAUCUGGGCGUUGUGUCCCGCUGAAGGUGAACUGCUGAUGCUUGCCGCUUUUUAGUGCGAUCGAUGCAGACUGAUCACCUCCCCGUUCACAUACGUCCUCUCGCUCCUUCACCUCAAGAACCAAAUGCACUCAGGCAUGGACAUGUUGCAUGGUGAUAAAUAAUGUAGACAGGCCGGUGGAGGAAGGUUACCUCUCUUCUGAAGCAAUCAGAGAGUAACUGCAGCUGUUGCACAUAGGAAUAGGACCUGUAACUGAAACAAGAUGUCCAGUCAUCAUUCCAGUUCAUCCCAAAGGUGUUCAGGGGGGUUGAGGUCAGGGCUCUGUGCAGGCCACCUGAAUUUUUUCACUCAAAUCUUGGCAAACCAUAUCUUUAUGGAGCUCACUUUGUGCACAGGGGCAUUGUCGUACUGGAACAGGUUUGCUCCUCUGAGUUCCGGUGAAGGGAAACUGUAAUGCUACAGUAUAAACUAACAAGCGAAGCUUCCAACUUUGUGGCAACAAUUUGGUGAAGGCCCACAUAUGGCUGUGAUGAUUAGGUAUCCAUAAACUUUUGUCCAUAUAGUGUAUCUCAAAAUAUUAUGUCAUCUGCUGUAGAAUCUCAUUCCACAAUCAAAUCCUUUGUCAAAGAAACUUACUUCCCUCAACUGGAAAAGCCCUUCAUAAACAGGAUUAGUGGCAGUCGAUUUCUGAGCCUGAACAGAUUGAGUAGGAAGAGCGGACACUACACAGUGAGGGGCCAAUGGCCUGAUGUUGACUAAUGAAGAUUGUAGUCAUGCCGACAGGCAGGAAAAGCUUACAAGCUUACACCUAGACUGCAGAGUUUAAGCCAGGAAAGUCACAAAACCAUCAUCUUGCCAGUGCUUGGUGUUCUUUACUCCCCCUUUCUGCUGCUGUGCAUUAGUCAAUGACUUUUUUCAAGAUGCGUGAUGCGUGUGUUUGGGGAGGCAUCCAAUUUUAGUGGUUCGGUGUGUGUAUAGAGACUGAUUAGAUUAACUGUGUUACUGGCGUAGUAGUUUGUGAAAUAUCAGUUAAAGUUUUUUUUUUAGUUUUUUUUAUUUUUUUUUUUUAUCUUUCUUAGUCCAACUCCAACCCACUCCACCAAUUUAUUUGAUUGCAAUACAUUUAAAUUAACAUAAUGGGCCAGUUUUUUUUUUUUUUUUUUAAAUAAA